rnacentral:rRNA from 1 species
UACGUAGGUGCGAGCGUUGCCCGGAUUUAUUGGGCGUAAAGGGCGCGUAGGCGGCCACGCACGUCCGUUGUGAAAUCGCCCGGCUCAACUGGGCGGGGUCAGCGGAUACGGUGUGGCUAGAGCAAGCUAGGGGGCAAUGGAAUUCCCGGUGUAGUGGUGGAAUGCGUAGAUAUCGGGAGGAACACCAGUGGCGAAGGCGGUUGCCUGGAGCUUUGCUGACGCUGAUGCGCGAAAGCGUGGGAGCGAGUCCGG